rnacentral:rRNA from 1 species
GACGAACGCUGGCGGCGUGCUUAACACAUGCAAGUCGAACGGGAUUUAGUAGACAGAAACCUCGGUGGAAGAUUACUAAUGAGAGUGGCGAACGGGUGAGUAACGCGUGAGCAACCUGCCUAUGACAGUGGGAUAGCCUCGGGAAACCGGGAUUAAUACCGCAUAAAAUCGUAGAAACACAUGUUUCAACGGUCAAAGAUUUAUCGGUCAUAGAUGGGCUCGCGUCUGAUUAGCUAGUUGGUGAGAUAACAGCCCACCAAGGCGACGAUCAGUAGCCGGUCUGAGAGGAUGAACGGCCACAUUGGAACUGAGACACGGUCCAAACUCCUACGGGAGGCAGCAGUGGGGAAUAUUGCACAAUGGGGGAAACCCUGAUGCAGCGACGCCGCGUGAACGAAGAAGGUAUUCGUAUCGUAAAGUUCUGUCCUAUGGGAAGAUAAUGACAGUACCAUAGAAGAAAGCUCCGGCUAAAUACGUGCCAGCAGCCGCGGUAAUACGUAUGGAGCGAGCGUUGUCCGGAAUUAUUGGGCGUAAAGGGUACGCAGGCGGUUUAAUAAGUCGAAUGUUAAAGAUCGGGGCUCAACCCCGUAAAGCAUUGGAAACUGAUAAACUUGAGUAGUGGAGAGGAAAGUGGAAUUCCUAGUGUAGUGGUGAAAUACGUAGAUAUUAGGAGGAAUACCAGUAGCGAGGGCGACUUUCUGGACACAAACUGACGCUGAGGUACGAAAGCGUGGGGAGCAAACAGG